CUGACUCCCAGGGUCUGGUCAGAGUUGCUGAGUGGGUUGAUCUCUGGUCUUUCCUUGACAG
ensembl:miRNA MIR6764 microRNA 6764